GGGGCUUUAGCUCAGCUGGUAGAGCACCUGCUUUGCAAGCAGGGGGUCAACGGUUCGAACCCGUUAAGCUCCACCA
rnacentral:tRNA from 5 species